GGAGCGGGCCGGAGCGCCGCAUCCAGCGACCGCCGCUGGUGGAAGCCGGCGGGAACGCUGCGAGUCUCCUCGCCUCUCCGCGGGGCGGCGUGCACGGACACGUGGCGCUCGCUCUCGGCCCGGCACCGGGGAACAGCGGCUGUGAGCGGAGCUGGAGCCUUCUCCGGCCUUCUGCCGCUCCGUGCCGGAACAGAAGCGGCUCCGCAGCAUCAGGGGAGAGCGGUAUUGCAUAGCCCCGGCCAUUUCCUUGCGCUGCCAGCCCCUUCUCGCCUGGGUAGCGCACGGUGAGAGCGGCCCUUGCCUUUGUCGCGGCUGCGGAGGCACCCGAGAGCUCAGGCAGUGCGGGGACUCGGCCGGGGGCACGCCACUGCCAACUUGCCACGGCAGCACAGGAGCCGUGCCAAUGCUCGUGCAGCAGGCACGCUCCUGCCAGCCCGUUCCGUGCCCUGUCCCACCCGCUCACCUGCUGGCACACCCUCGGUCACUCCGCUGGCGACAGCCUGUGCAACAAGCCACAGCUGGGUCCGUCCUGGCGUGCGGCACCAGCAGAGCAAGGUUGCUGGCUGAAAGGUCCAAGGCUGGGCUGUUGCAGGAGGUCACAGGGUUUAGUGCAUACAGGUGUAGGGGGAUGCUUACACCUUCUUUCCACCCCCUCUCUCUUCAUCUGCUUUUUACAGCCUCUCCCGACAACGCUCCUGCAUCUACAAGUGCCUUCAGGGAAUCAAGGAAAGUUUCCUUGCUUUGCUUUCCUUUCUAUUGCUUGAAUUAACACCUACCUUCUAUGGAUCUGCUACAUAAUUCAUAUUUUGCUGUGGAGAGUGAGAUCUUCUCCCUCUUACACGGGGAAGGAGCCAUAUGUAGCUCUACUGCAAAGAAAUCUUUUCAGGCUCCAGAUUCUGAAGAUGGAGGUGAAUAAUUUUCUCUUUAUUAUAUGUGUCAAUAGAAGAAGGUAAAGAAAGCUGCCACCAUCAGAGCACUUCUCCCCAAGGCACAAAGCUUAUGGUCUCAUCCUAGGAAUUUUGGCACAAUUUUCCUAAUGCUCGCUUUCAGGUUGCUUGAAUGGAGAUGAAAAUAAAUAAUUCAUUGAAAUAUUUCA